rnacentral:lncRNA from 1 species
UGUCCACCUAGAAUAAUUUGUUUGCUGGAAGUUCUGUUGUUGGCAGAAAAUGGAAGCUACAAACUAGUGUGGUUAUCAGCAGGGAAUGGGAUCAAAGUUUCAGUCCAACAAGUCCAGGCAACUUUCAGCUUGAAGGCCAAGGUGUUACUACUUAGAAUUUAGGGCACAGAAGGCUGGUGUGUGUCGGCAGUGAUAUUUGGGAGAAUGAGUCUGUUUGGGAGACACUUUAGGUCAUACCAGGACUCAGGGGCCUGGACUUCUCCAAAUGAUCUCUCCAGCAGAGAGGCUGGACAUCUUCUAUAGCACCUCAGGGCUCCUAAGAACGCGGAAGUAGGAGUUGCCAGGUCUUAUUAAGACUGAGUCCUGAAACAGGUGCAGCAUCACUUCCACUGCACUCUCUUGGUUAAAGCAAGUCACAUACCCAACCCAGAGUGGAGUACAUGAGGUCCUGACUUCCAGGAGGUGUGUACACCAGGAGGGGUGUUUCACUGGGGGCCAUCAAUGUAAUGAACUGUCAUAGCAAGUGAGGCAGAGCAUUGAUUCUAGCAAUUCUUUUAGAGACUCUGAGACCCUUGGAGACAGAACUGUAGAGAUCAUCUAGCCCAACUCAUUGAGGAAACGGAGGUCCUGAUGACUACUGUCCACAGGGGCCGUGUGGAUGCUCUGGGUUUUCGCUUAAAGAAGUGACAAGUUAAGGAACCAUAUAUAUUUUGUAGAGAAAAAGGUCUUGAAAUGGUAGUGGCCAAUUUUCAAAAAUUUCAAAUAGUUUAAGAACAUCAACCAGACUGCUGUGUUGAGAAGAAUACAGACACUGCAUUCAGAUUCAGUGAGAAAGAGUGCUUUGAUCAACUAAUAUUUUCUGCAGUGGUCCAUCCAUGUGUGUUG